CACGCUAAUGAUUUACGAUAUCUCGAAAAUAUCACAUACAUAAUUAUCAAAUACAAACCGCAUUAUGAGUGAUCAGGAUAUGAAUUGUAACCGCAAAUUAGUGCGAAUAAAAAUGCGUAAAAAAAGGAAGGGGGAAUCACGGUAAAAGUAAUAUAUUGCGGGCAUUUCUCAUUGUCCUCUACAUCAGUCUUCAAUUGUUGCCUUCACGAUAACUUGGUGUAAAACGAUAAAAUUUAACGAGCAAUAAUCUAUCAAAAUCGUUCGUAAUUUAUGUGUGACGCGAUGGCGCCGUUACGUUUCAUUUUAUUCGUCUUGUUUUUCUGCAUUUUCGUCACCAUGCACGAAUCCAGACCUCUGACAUUUCCACAAAGAAAGAAUACAAGCGUGAAGAAAUGUCCACCAGGAUACAAAUACAUUCGCAACGUGGGCUGCAGAAAACUCAUAUUCAAUUAAACGUAAAACGUAAAAAGAAAUCCGGAUAAUGAGAAACUUUUGCAAAAUUCUGAAAUAAUUAAAUCACGAGAAACUAAUCAAAAGAACAUUCUAUUCUUUAUAUUGUAUAUUCAAAUAUUGUAAGAUGUGAAUCUAAUUUGCAUUUAUAAUUUAACAAACAAUGAAAUAAAUCACAAUUUAUCGAUAAAAA